rnacentral:lncRNA from 1 species
UCCAUUAUAAUCUUACCUCGAACGGAGAGGCGCGUAGGGUAUCUCCUGGGGUAAAGCUUAGGGUUCACUUCACGCCAAACCACCACGUGAAGGGGAACUCAGCCAACGCCAAGGAACGACUGUAUUUUUCUCAAACUAAAAAUAUAUUUUAAGUGUAUACAAAAAUUUUAACAGCCUUGGCGGACUCGGUUGGAUGCCCUACGCAAGGUAUCACCGAGUAUGAGUUUUGGCACGAGCCAAAGUUUUAAGAAAUUUAUAAGCCAAGUUGAUUACUCGAUUUUUAUGGAUUGAUUUUAUUUGGUUGAAAUGAGUUGAAAGGUAAUGAAAUUACAGUAUGAUGAUUUAUUUUAAUUGUCUCCAUUUACUCGACUUUAGAUAGUUUAGAUGGUAUCUGUUUACUCACUGGGAUUUUAUAAUCUCACCACCCUCAUUUCCUCACAUUUCAGGCUCAGGGAAUUUCGUAGUUAGCUGACUUGAACAAGGACCUUCAUUUGGACUCGAAUCGGUAAAAGCUGUAGGUUUCCAGCUUCCGAUGCAUUUUGGUUAGAUGUGGGCCCACGUGUCACUGUAAAAGAAAUUUUAUGCUUUGGUUAUUUGCUUUAUAGUAUAUAUGAAUAUAAUUAUCUUUUACGCUAUAAGAAUUAUGUACCGAUAGUUUUAUGAAAAUUAUUUUACAAG